UUGUACACACCGCCCGUCGCUACUACCGAUUGAAUGGCUUAGUGAGGUCUCCGGAUUGGCUUUGGGAAACCGGCAACGGUAGCUCUUAGCUGAGAAGCUGAUCAAACUUGGUCAUUUAGAGG
rnacentral:rRNA from 1 species